ACAUCACCUCUAGCAUUACAAGUAUUAGAGGCAAUGCCUGCCCAGUGACUGAGGUUAAACGGCCGCGGUAUUCUGACCGUGCAAAGGUAGCAUAAUCACUUGUUCCUUAAUUAGGGACUAGAAUGAACGGCUAAACGAGGGUUUAACUGUCUCUUAUUUUUCAUCCGUGAAACUGACCUUCCCGUGAAGAGGCGGGAAUAACAAAACUAGACGAGAAGACCCUAUGGAGCUUUAAUUUAUUAAUUUAAUUUCAACAAUCCACAAUCUAAUGAAAACAAAAUCUGAAAGCUAAAUUAAUGAUUUAGGUUGGGGUGACCUCGGAGAAUAAAACAACCUCCGAAAGAUUAUAAUCAAGGCUGACAAGUCAAAAUAAACACGUUUAUCACUAAUCGACCCAUUAAUUUUGAUCGACGGACCAAGUUACCCUAGGGAUAACAGCGCAAUCCUAUUUAAGAGUUCCUAUCGAAAAUAGGGUUUACGACCUCGAUGUUGGAUCAGGAUAUCCCAAUGGUGCAGCAGCUAUUAAUGGUUCGUUUGUUCAACGAUUAAAGC
rnacentral:rRNA from 1 species